CGUUGUCUCCGACAACAGCCAAUGUCCCAGCAAUCUGAGAGGGACGCCUUCGGGUGAUUGCCAGCCAAAAUCGUCACAGCCUGAGAGACGAUGCCUUCGGGCGGUAACCUUGCUUAACCUUUGAAAGCAGGGAUCGCAGCAGUGAUAAAGGUUGAA
rnacentral:sRNA from 1 species